CAAAUGUGAUGUCCUACCAAGCUAAAUGCCUAAUCUGUUUUACUAGUGUAGUGUUGAUUUGAAAAAGCAUGCCGGUUCAAAGCAGUCCAGCAUUUCUGCCAAAUCAUAGGCCAGUGAUAUUGUCAUUUACCGAAAAAGAGCAGCUCUUGAGGGACUGUCACUCGUUCUGCAUGAAAAUUCGGUUUUCUUGCUCAAGGUGUAUCUGGACGUUGACCCUGAGGACCGCAGCACCAGAUGUGUAAAGAUCGGAAUCUUUACUGUAGUUGAGGAUGAUGUUGGCACUCCUGCUUCACUGGCCACUGUGAUUAACCGUGUAAUCCUGAAUGAGGCCAUUGUUCUUCAGGAUA